UGCACUUUGCUCAGGAGUCCAAUCAGCUACUAUAAUAUACAUUCUGUCAAUGUGUCAAUAGAUCAACAUUUGUACAUUGUGUGGGCCCAUGUAAAGGCAGCCUACAAGUCUACGUCUACUGAUAAGGUCCAGUACUGUGCCAUAGACCUCAAUAUUACAAACAUGAAAUUUCUGCCACUCGAACCCAGCCGUGGCUCCGUUCCCUGCUCGACCAACCCGCAAAUUGGAGGGCGUGGAAACGCAUGCGCAUUCUGUCCACUGCGGCUCCCCUGCUUUGCCGCAUUGUAGCGCGUGCGUGGUAUGUGGUGCGCGCUGACUGACAGCAGCCAAGUGAACAGUUUAUGUAUACGUGCGUGUGUAUGUGAUGUUACGUGUACAUGUUGAUUUCGUCUUAGGUAACAUACAAGCAGUUUUUGAACGCGUUUUUUAUGUUUCAGCGUAUGGUUUAUAAAACCAACAGUCUGAGCCUCAGCCAGUUUCCAGAGCACGCAUGAUUUAUAUAUUUACUGCUGAGCAAAGCACAGAUAGCAGAAAUAGAGAAUCAUCACUUGUACAGCAAGUAGAGCUCUCGUGCCUGUUUCUGUUAUCCUGUAUGUGACAACGAAAUUGCAAGACAUCUAGCAUCGUUUAAUCAUGCUCAAAUUGAAGUUUGAUUUGUUCUUUCUCUGUUAUGGUAUUUCAUUUUGUUUUGGUUGAACUGUCCUUGAUGUGCACAUAUCAUGCUGAAGUUGUGUGAUCAAUAAUUAAUCAAAGUUUGAAAAGCUAGCAACGGUUGCAGUUGAAUGGUGUGCAUGAAGUUUGGAGGUGUCUCUCUCUUUCAGGUUGAGCUUAUCAGCCUCUAAAAAGCGAAUGAAAAAAAUUCCAAUUAAUCUGUGUGUGUGUGUGAGUGUGUGAGAGAGAGAGAGAGAGAGAGAGAGUGCAUAUAUGUGGCUGGACUUUUUUGAACAAUAGGUUUAUUUUUUUAAAAACUAUAAACAUUUUAACAAAUGCUUCUUUAGGUUCAUCUGAAUAAUAAUCAUAAAUGGUGUGUACAGAUUACAUUUUCACAUUAACAUUGGGUGACAGACACCUCUUUUGUUUAAAUAUGUAUAAAAUAUGAUUACAAUUAAAAUGUUUUCUGUUUAA